ACUGUUUUAUAGAGCCUGAAGUUUCUAAAGAAAAGGCACCUGUACUGAAACCCAAAAAAAGAGCCUGAAUUUAUCAAAGAGAAACCAGCACCUCCAAAGAAAGCACCUGAAAUAAGCAAAGAAAAACCAAAGCCAGCACCAAAGAAAGGUAUCUGAGUUCAUCUGUAAGAAUAAUGUCAAAACCUGUAGUAUGGCCAGUUUUAAGACAAUGCUAAUGCUUUCAAUUUUUUUAUAAACUUCAUUUUAGAGGCUUAAGUCAUCAAAGAGAAAGUCAAACCAGCCCCUGAGAAGAAAGAGGCUGAAGUCAAGGAGAAAGCUAAACCAGCCCCCGAGAAGAAAGAUAAGUGUACCAUUAUUUAAACUUUACAUUUUAUCGAUUUCAUUUAUGCUUCAUUCAGAUUGACAUUUUACCCAAG
rnacentral:lncRNA from 1 species